AAUAUUGGACAAUGGGGGGAAACCUGAUCCAGCCAGGCCGCGUGUGUGAAGAAGGUGUUCGGUUUGUAAAGCACUUUACGUUGGGAGGAAGAGUUGUAGGCUAAUACCUUGCAAUGUUGGCGUUACCAAAAGAUUAAGCACCGGCUAACUACAUGCCAGCCGCCGCGGUAAUACAUAGGGGGCAAGCUUUUUCCGGAAUUAUUGGGCGUAAAGGGUGCGUAGGCGGCCCUUUAAGUCAGAUGUGAAAUCCCACGGCUUAACCGUGAGACUGCAUUUGAAACUGGAGGGCUUGAGUAUCGGAGAGGGGAGUGGAAUGCCCAGUGUAGCGGUGGAAUGCGUAGAUAUAGGAAGGAACACCAGUGGCGAAGGCGACUACCUGGACUGAUACUGACACUGAGGUGCGAAAGCGUGGGGAGCAAACA
rnacentral:rRNA from 1 species